GCCUGGCUAGCUCAGUUGGUAAAGCAUGUGAUUCUAGAUUUCAGGGUCGUGAGUUCAAGUCCUAUGUUGGGCA
rnacentral:tRNA from 1 species